rnacentral:rRNA from 1 species
CCCUUAGAUGUUCGGAGCUGCACGCGCGCUACACUGAAGGAAGCAGCGUGUUAGAGCACCUGGCUUGAAAGAGCUGGGUAAUCCGGUGAAUGUCCUUCGUGAUUGGGAUAGGGACUUGUAAUUAUUUCCCUUGAACGAGGAAUACCUUGUAAGCGCGGGUCAUCAUCCCGCGCUGAAUACGUCCCUGCCCUUUGUACACACCGCCCGUCGCUCCUACCGAUUGAGUGGUCCGGUGAGGCUUUGGGAUCUGAGCGGAAAGAGCGUUUCGCUGUUUCUGCUCGGAAAACUCAGUCGAACCUUAUCAUUUAGAGGAAGGAGAAGUCGUAACA